AUUGAACGCUGGCGGCAGGCCUAACACAUGCAAGUCGAGCGCGAACGUUUCUUCGGAAACAAGUAGAGCGGCGGACGGGUGAGUAACGCGUGGGAAUCUACCCAGUAGCGGGGGAUAACAUGGAGAAAUUCAUGCUAAUACCGCAUACGCCCUACGGGGGAAAGGAGGGGAUCUUCGGACCUUUCACUAUUGGAGGAGCCCGCGUGAGAUUAGAUAGUUGGUGGGGUAAUGGCCUACCAAGUCGACGAUCUCUAGCUGGUCUGAGAGGAUGAUCAGCCACACUGGAACUGAGACACGGUCCAGACUCCUACGGGAGGCAGCAGUGGGGAAUAUUGCACAAUGGGCGAAAGCCUGAUGCAGCCAUGCCGCGUGUGUGAAGAAGGCCCUAGGGUUGUAAAGCACUUUCAAUUGGGAGGAAAGGUUGUAAGUUAAUACCUUGCAACUGUGACGUUACCUUUAGAAGAAGCACCGGCAAACUCCGUGCCAGCAGCCGCGGUAAUACGGAGGGUGCGAGCGUUAAUCGGAAUUACUGGGCGUAAAGCGCGCGUAGGCGGAUAAUUAAGUCAGCUGUGAAAGCCCCGGGCUCAACCUGGGAACUGCAGUUGAUACUGGUUAUCUAGAGUACAGUAGAGGGUGGUGGAAUUUCCUGUGUAGCGGUGAAAUGCGUAGAUAUGGGAAGGAACAUCAGUGGCGAAGGCGGCCACCUGGACUGAUACUGACGCUGAGGUGCGAAAGCGUGGGUAGCGAACAGGACUAGAUACCCUGGUAGUCCACGCCGUAAACGAUGAUCACUAAAUGUUCGGCCUUCGGGCUGAGUGUUCAAGCGAAAGCGAUAAGUGAUCCACCUGGGGAGUACGUUCGCAAGAAUGAAACUCAAAGGAAUUGACGGGGGCCCGCACAAGCGGUGGAGCAUGUGGUUUAAUUGAUGAUACGCGAGGAACCUUACCUGGGCUACAAUGCCUCUGCCAGUCCCCGAAAGGGGAUGUUCCUUCGGGACAGAGUGCAAGGUGCUGCAUGGUUGUCGUCAGCUCGUGCCGUGAGGUGUUGGGUUAAGUCCCGCAACGAGCGCAACCCCUAUCGUUAGUUGCCAUCAGGUUAAGCUGGGGACUCUAACGAGACUGCCUCCGCAAGGAGUGAGGAAGGCGGGGAUGACGUCAAAUCAUCAUGGCCCUUACGCCCAGGGCGACACACGUGCUACAAUGGACGGUACAGCGGGUAGCGACUUUGCGAAAAGAAGCCAAUCCCUAAAAGCCGUUCUCAGUUCGGAUCGGAGUCUGCAACUCGACUCCGUGAAGUCGGAAUCGCUAGUAAUCGCAGAUCAGCCAUGCUGCGGUGAAUACGUUCCCGGGCCUUGUACACACCGCCCGUCAAGCCAUGGAAGCUGGGGGCACCUGAAGUCGGCCUAUAAGCCGCCUAGGGUGAAACUAGUAACUGGGGCU
rnacentral:rRNA from 1 species